rnacentral:tRNA from 2 species
GGCGACGUGGCGGAGUGGUUACGCAGCGGAUUGCAAAUCCGUGUACACCGGUUCGAUUCCGGUCGUCGCCU